GCAGUGGCGGUUCAGGGGUUGAAUACUCACCUUCCACGUGGGAGACUCGGGUUAGAUUCCUGGCCAAUGCA
rnacentral:tRNA from 1 species